GCUGGUGUACGCUUAAUUGGUAAAGUCGGUGCUAGCCUUUACUGUGAAGGACUUUUGCGGGUUCGACCCCCGCCACCAGCA
rnacentral:tRNA from 1 species